rnacentral:rRNA from 1 species
CAGAGACUGCAAGCGUUAUUCGGAUUCACUGGGCGUAAAGGGUGCGCAGGCGGCCGGGUGUGUGAGGCGUGAAAGCCCGAUGCUUAACAUCGGAAUUGCACCUCAAACUACACGGCUAGAGCAUUGGAGAGGGUAGCGGAAUUCACGGUGUAGCAGUGAAAUGCGUAGAUAUCGUGAGGAACACCAGAGGCGAAGGCGGCUACCUGGACAAUUGCUGACGCUCAGGCACGAAAGCGUGGGGAGCAAAAGGGAUUAGAUACCCCUGUAGUCCACGCCCUAAACGGUGCACACUAGGUCUUGGCGGAUUCGACCCCACCAGGGCCCAAGCUAACGCGUUAAGUGUGCCGCCUGAGGACUACGGUCGCAAGACUA